CCGGACGUAGCGCAGAGGCAGUCGCGUCUCCACGGCAUGGAGGAGGACGCCGGUUCGAAUCCGGCCGUCCGGG
rnacentral:tRNA from 1 species